CCUACGGUAGACAGCAGUGAGGAAUAUUGGUCAAUGGGCGCGAGCCUGAACCAGCCAAGUAGCGUGAAGGAUGACUGCCCUACGUGUUGUAAACUUCUUUUAUAAAUGCAUAAAGUUAGGCACGUGUUCCUUUUUUUAGGUACUUUAUGAAUAAGUAUCGGCUAACUCCGUGCCAUCAGCCGCGGUACUCCGGGGGAUGCACGCGUUAGCCGGAUUUAUUGGGUUUAAAGGGUGCGUAGUCUGUGAGGUAAGUCCGCGUUGAAAUGCCCCCGCUCAACGGGGUGAAGCGCCAUUGAUACUGCCUUGCUGGAAUGCGGAUGCAGUGGGAGGAAUGUGUGGUAUAGCGGUGAAAUGCAUAGAUAUCACACAGAACACCGAUUGCGAAGGCAUCUCACGAAUCCGCGAUUGACGCUGAUGCACGAAAGCGUGGGUAUCAAACAGGAUUAGAUACCCCUGUAGUC
rnacentral:rRNA from 1 species